rnacentral:rRNA from 1 species
AUGCCCUUGGACAAAGCACCCGGCCCCGAUGGCUUCCCUGGCGCAUUUUAUCGUGCAUGUUGGGACAUUAUAAAGCUAGACCUUCUGAGUGUCUUUCAUAGCCUGCACAAUCUCAAUGUCAGAUCCCUGCAUAUUAUAAAUGAAGCCCUCAUAGUACUAAUCCCGAAGAAGAAAGACCCAAUGAUGAUUGGGGACUAUCGCCCAAUCAACCUGAUUCACAGCCUCAUAAAAAUCAUCAUGAAGGUUUUAGCUAGAAGGUUGGCCCCGAGGCUGUCGACGCUAAUAUCCAAGUGUCAGAGUGCGUUCAUGAGCGGUCGCUGCAUUCACGAAAACUUCGUGUAUGUACAACACUUGGCAAAGCACUACCAUCAUGUGCGAAUACCAACGGUUCUCCUCAAACUUGAUUUGGCAAAGGCCUUUGACUCGGUGUCCUGGUCGUACAUUCUGGACUACAUUAAGGCCAUGGGAUUUGGUACUAGAUGGUGA